GACGAACGCUGGCGGCGUGCUUAACACAUGCAAGUCGAACGGAAAGGCCCUGCUUUUGUGGGGUGCUCGAGUGGCGAACGGGUGAGUAACACGUGAGUAACCUGCCCUUGACUUUGGGAUAACUUCAGGAAACUGGGGCUAAUACCGGAUAGGAGCUCCUGCUGCAUGGUGGGGGUUGGAAAGUUUCGGCGGUUGGGGAUGGACUCGCGGCUUAUCAGCUUGUUGGUGGGGUAGUGGCUUACCAAGGCUUUGACGGGUAGCCGGCCUGAGAGGGUGACCGGCCAAAAUGGGACUGGGAAAACGGCCAAAAUUCUAAGGGAGGGAGAAGGGGGGAAUAUUGCACAAUGGGCGGAAGCCUGAUGCAGCAACGCCGCGUGCGGGAUGACGGCCUUCGGGUUGUAAACCGCUUUCGCCUGUGACGAAGCGUGAGUGACGGUAAUGGGUAAAGAAGCACCGGCUAACUACGUG
rnacentral:rRNA from 1 species